CAGGGACAUCUUGGAUGAAAUCCUUUGUUGUGGAUGUAGCUUGAUUCUCAUCAUUCCCCUCUGCUUCAAAAGGAUUCGUCCUCGAAUCUGUUUCUGCAUCAACACAAGGAGAUAAAUCAGCAACAUUGAAGGUGGCACUGACAUUAUACUCACCGGGCAGGUUUAUUUUGUAAGCGUUAUCAUUAAUUUUGGUCAGCACUUGGAAAGGUCCAUCACAUCUUGGUUGUAAUUUUGAUUUCCUUCGAGAGGGAAACCUUUCUUUGCGCAAGUGAACC
rnacentral:misc_RNA from 1 species